rnacentral:rRNA from 1 species
AACGAACGCUGGCGGCAGGCUUAACACAUGCAAGUCGAGCGAGAGACUUCGGUCUCUAGCGGCGGACGGGUGAGUAACACGUGGGUAACCUGCCUCAUAGAGGGGGAUAGCCUUCCGAAAGGAAGAUUAAUACCGCAUAUACUCUCGAUACCACAUGGUAUUUAGAGGAAAGGAGCAAUCCGCUAUGAGAUGGACCCGCGGCGCAUUAGCUAGUUGGUGAGGUAACGGCUCACCAAGGCGACGAUGCGUAGCCGACCUGAGAGGGUGAUCGGCUACAUUGGGACUGAGACACGGUCCAGACUCCUACGGGUGGCAGCAGUGGGGAAUAUUGCACGAUGGGCGAAAGCCUGAUGCAGCACCGCCGCGUGAGUGAUGACGGCCUUCGGGUUGUAAAGCUCUGUCUUUUGGGACGAUAAUGACGGUACCAAAGGAGGAAGCCACGGCUAACUACGUGCCAGCCGCCGCCGUAAGAC